rnacentral:rRNA from 1 species
UGAAGAAUCUGCCCUCCACUUUGGGAUAACACAGGGAAACCUGUGUCUAAUACCGAAUAUUGAAACAUAAGUGGCAUCACUGAGUUUUGAAAGAAUUUCGGUGGAGGAUGACUUCGCGGCCUAUCAGCUAGUUGGUGAGGUAAUGGCUCACCAAGGCAACUACGGGUAGCCGGCCUGAGAGGGCGACCGGCCACACUGGGACUGAGACA